GAAGAGCUUCUGUUUGUGUUUGGCUCCUGGGCAAUUGGAGGAAGAUGAUAAUGGACAUGACCUCAUACAUCCUGAGAAGUUACCCUCAUUACACUACUAAUGAAACUAAGUACCAGGACAUGCUGGGAGCCACCCAGCUGGAACACAGCCUGGAAGAAAAUGACCAGGGCAUCCUGGUGGACACCAAGCUGAGUACGAGCCAGAAAUGUGUCCUUCUAGCAGAGAAGGCUGAUGGUAUCCUGGACUGCAGUAGGCAAAGUAUUGCCAGCAGGUCAAGAGAGGCUUCCAUCAUGUAUGAGCAGCUUUGCAGGCUGCCAGUGGACAGCACCAGAUCUGCAGCAUACCUCUGACUUUCACUCUGACCAGCUGGCAGAAGCAACUCCUCCUUCCUCCUUCCUCCUGUCUCUCAUCCAGGUGCAUUCAUCGAGAAGAACAACCCACUGUAAAACAUGCGUCAUAGAGAGUGGCCACUGACAUUUCUACCUGCACCUCAUGAAAUCAUGCCUGCUGGUAACACUGCAAUAUCAUCGAUCUUAGCAGCAAUCAGGAGCUCACUGGUUCUACAAGAUGAAACUUCAGGCUGCACAGUGUAAAAGCAAUCU
rnacentral:lncRNA from 1 species